rnacentral:rRNA from 1 species
GAGUUUGAUCCUGGCUCAGAUUGAACGCUGGCGGCAUGCCUUACACAUGCAAGUCGAACGGCAGCAUGACGUGUAGCAAUACACGUUGAUGGCGAGUGGCGAACGGGUGAGUAAUAUAUCGGAACGUGCCCUGUAGCGGGGGAUAACCUAUCGAAAGAUGGACUAAUACCGCAUACGCCCUACGGAGGAAGGCGGGGGUCGCAAGACCUCGCACUAUAGGAGCGGCCGAUAUCGGAUUAGCUAGUUGGCGGGGUAAAAGCCCACCAAGGCGACGAUCCUAGCUGGUCUGAGAGGAUGAUCAGCCACACUGGAACUGAGACACGGUCCAGACUCCUACGGGAGGCAGCAGUGGGGAAUUUUGGACAAUGGGCGCAAGCCUGAUCCAGCCAUGCCGCGUGAGUGAAGAAGGCCUUCGGGUUGUAAAGCUCUUUCGGCAGGAACGAAAUGGUUCGUGCUAAUACCACGGACUGAUGACGGUACCUGAAGAAGAAGCACCGGCUAACUACGUGCCAGCAGCCGCGGUAAUACGUAGGGUGCAGGCGUUAAUCGGAAUUACUGGGCGUAAAGCGUGCGCAGGCGGUUUCUUAAGUCAGAUGUGAAAGCCCCGGGCUUAACCUGGGAACUGCGUUUGAAACUGGGAGACUUGAGUGUGGCAGAGGGGGGUGGAAUUCCACGUGUAGCAGUGAAAUGCGUAGAUAUGUGGAGGAACACCGAUGGCGAAGGCAGCCCCCUGGGCUAACACUGACGCUCAUGCACGAAAGCGCGGGGAGCAAACAGGAUUAGAUACCCUGGUAGUCCACGCCCUAAACUAUGUCAACUAGUUGUCGGGGGAUUAACUCCCUUGGUAACGAAGCUAACGCGUGAAGUUGACCGCCUGGGGAGUACGGCCGCAAGGUUAAAACUCAAAGGAAUUGACGGGGACCCGCACAAGCGGUGGAUUAUGUGGAUUAAUUCGAUGCAACGCGAAAAACCUUACCUACCCUUGACAUGUACGGAAUCUCUCAGAGAUGGGAGAGUGCCCGAAAGGGAACCGUAACACAGGUGCUGCAUGGCCGUUCUUAGUUGGUGGAGUGAUUUGUCUGGUUAAUUCCGAUAACGAACGAGACUCUAGCCUAUUAAAUAAUAUGCGGAAUCAAUUUCUCCCGCGUUAUUUCUUAAUGGGAUCAAGCGUGUUUAACGCUUUGAAACAGAGCAAUAACAGG